rnacentral:siRNA from 1 species
AGGCAUGAGGUUGAUGAUGGAUC